CUACGGGAUGCUCCAGUGAGGAAUAUUGCACAAUGGGGGGAACCCUGAUGCAGCAACGCCGCGUGGAGGAUGACGCAUUUCGGUGUGUAAACUCCUUUUAUAUGUCAAGAAAAUGACGGUAGCAUAUGAAUAAGCACCGGCUAACUCCGUGCCAGCAGCCGCGGUAAUACGGAGGGUGCAAGCGUUACUCGGAAUCACUGGGCGUAAAGGACGCGUAGGCGGGUUGGAAAGUCAGGUGUGAAAUCCUACAGCUUAACUGUAGAACUGCACUUGAAACUUCGAAUCUAGAGUAUGGGAGGGGGAGAUGGAAUUAGUGGUGUAGGGGUAAACUCCGUAGAUAUCACUAGGAAUACCUAAAGCGAAGGCGAUCUCCUGGAACAUUACUGACGCUAAGGCGUGAAAGCGUGGGGAGCAAACAGGAUUAGAUACCCCCGUAGUC
rnacentral:rRNA from 1 species